rnacentral:rRNA from 1 species
GAUGAACGCUAGCGGCAGGCUUAACACAUGCAAGUCGAGGGGUAUAGGUUUCGGACCUAGAGACCGGCGCACGGGUGCGUAACGCGUAUGCAAUCUACCUUCACAGAGGGAUAGCCCAGUAGAAAUUUGGAUUAAUACCUCAUAGUAUUAUAGAAUGGCAUCAUUUUAUAAUUAAAGUCACAACGGUGAAAGAUGAGCAUGCGUCCCAUUAGCUAGUUGGUAUGGUAACGGCAUACCAAGGCAACGAUGGGUAGGGGUCCUGAGAGGGAGAUCCCCCACACUGGUACUGAGACACGGACCAGACUCCUACGGGAGGCAGCAGUGAGGAAUAUUGGUCAAUGGGCGCAAGCCUGAACCAGCCAUGCCGCGUGCAGGAUGACGGUCCUAUGGAUUGUAAACUGCUUUUGCACAGGAAGAAACAACGCUACGUGUAGCGUCUUGACGGUACUGUGAGAAUAAGGAUCGGCUAACUCCGUG